GAACACGCACCUGCUGUUUCAGCAGGAAGGGUAGAAGCCUGUGGUCCACGAUCCUGAACGACUCCUGGGCUUGUGACGGACGCAUUUCAUUGGCUUGUGAUGGACGCAUUUCAUUGGCUUGUGACGGACGCAUUUCAUUGGCUUGCGACGGACGCAUUUCAUUAGCUUGUGAUGGACGCAUUUCAUUGGCUUGUGAUGGAUGCUUUUUGUUCCGCAAGUGGGACUUGCACACGUGGGAGCGGCUCACCCACCCCAUGCCUCCGUCUGCCGCGUGUGUGGCCCCAAGCCGAGGACCCACAAAGCCGUGCACCACCUCCUGACGUGGCUCUGGAUGACCAGCCUGGGAGGGGAGCUGGAGAGCCCUGCUGCCUGCGGUGGACUGUUCCGGAGAAGCCACGGUGACGACAGGAAGAGAUGUAACAGCUGAUGUGCACGAAGCCUCUACUGGCACAAGUCACCGUGCGUGCUGCUCACAGCAGCCCCGUAAGGGACCUGGACUACUAGUACACCCAUUUUACAGGCGGGGAAAUGGAGGCACAGAAAGGUUGGGUAACUUGCCCACGUUCACAUGGCCAGUAGGGCUGGAGCUGAGAUUUGAACCCAUUUCUACUCUUGAGAGCUACUCAAAAUCCACCUUCAGAGAGGGGGCGUGAUGAGAGGGAUCUGGGGAAGCUAUGAGGCUGGAAGGGACCUUGAGCCCGCCCCAGUGUUUGCUGGGGUGGAAACACGGCCCUGCUCCCUCCUGCGGCCCCGCCCCCUCCCUGCGGCCCCGCCCCUCCCUGCGGCCCCGCCCCCUCCCUGCAGCCCCUCCUUCCCAUGUGGUCCGAGUGAGGGGAGGACGUGGCUCCAGUCCCAGUGCUCCACCCGGCCUGUGCUGGGCGCCCCCAAACCACUGGCCUUCUCCACCUGGGCUUCUCAUCCCUAAAGGGGGCCGAGAAUAGCAGCCAGGCGCCUCUCCAGGCUGUCACGAGGAUGGGAUCAGAUAUAGGUGUGGAAGCCCCAGGAAAGCCCAGCUCUCCUGCUCCAGCCGCUUGGCCGCCAAGAGGGGUCUGGCUCCCUGUGCCAAGCCACACCUCCCCCCCACCCCCUAUCUCCCCACCCCCGCCAUGGUCGGACCCCGAAAGGUGGCAGGACUGGACACAUUCUCUCUGUUGAAGGCUCCGGCCUGCCUGGGUCGCUGUCCUAGGAUCUCUCAGAGGUCAGGCAGGUGCCAGGAGGGGAGAGUCCCCUGCCUAUCCCCAGCCGUGCACAGGAGCAGGGCCCUCCCCAAGGCUUCCCUAUGUCCCUAUGCCUUGAAUCUCAUCCUGAAAACAAGGACCUCGGACCUGCCGACCUGCCAGGUUUCUUCCAUCUUCAAGAUUCUAUCCUCCCGCUGAACCGAGGACCCCUGCGUGGCUGCUCCUCCCAGCCCCCCGCCAGAGGCCCCAACUCUUGCUCUUCCUUCUCGAAGGCAGAAGGUGCCGUUGAUGGAACCUCCUUUUCUGGGGAUCGAGGCCCUGUUGCCCCCAGAAGCUGGGGCACUAUUGUGCAGAGGGGUGGCGUUGAUAGGUGUGACGGUCCUGGGACUGAGCCCCUCUUGGCAGAAAGAGAGCCUUACACAGGGGCCAGCAAAGAGGGUUCAGACUUGGGAAGGCGGAUGUCAGGGACAGAAUUCUCCAGAAUGGCGCCAUCCAGUAGAGACUGUAGGCAGGCUGUGAACCGGAGCUGCUGGUUUGAUGUCACAUUAUAAGAAAAGAACAAACGGGCGAAGUUUAUUAUUAUUAUUAUUAUUUACUAUUAUUAUUAUUUUUAAGGGCCGCACCUGCAGCAGGUGGAGGUUCCCAGGCGAGGGGUCAAAUUGGAGCUGGAGCUGCCGGCCUACACCACAGCCAUGGCAACCCCAGAUCUGAGCCACAUCUGUGACCUACACCGCAGUUCUUGGCGAUGCCGGCUCCUUAACCCACUUCCAAGAGCGGCCAGGAAUUGCACCUACAUCCUCAUGGGUACUAUUCGGGAGCCACAAAGGGAGCUCCCAGGUGAAGUUUAUAUUAAUAAUAUAUUUCAUUAUCUCGAUACCUGCAAAUGUGAUCAUUUCAACACGUAAAUCCGUUUAACAUUCCGAGUGAGAUACUUUUCGCUCUUUGUUCACAGAAGACCUUUGAAACCCAGCACAUCUCAUUGUGGACCAGCCACAUCCCAUGUGCUCCAUGGCCAUGGGUGGUGUGGUCGCCCUGGUGGACGGCACAGCUCUGGGGAUGGAGAUGGAUUUGAGACCCACCCGUACUGCCAGCCGGCCAUGCCACUUAGACUUAAGGGAUGCCAGGCUCUAUUCCAAGAGCUUUCGGUGUAGUAACUCACGCAAUCAUCGUUUCCGUUUUUUUGGUUGACGAAAUGGAGAUCCAGAGAGGUUAAGUAAUUUGCCCAAGAUCACACAGCUAUUGAGAGGUGGAGCUGGGUUCUGAACCCUGAGUUUUAUUUGCUAGAGUGCUUUAUAAACGGUUACACAAAGCCUGAUCAUCAAUCAAUCAGUGAGUCAAUUCUUAGAGCAGCUCCCCUGGAACGGGGCUGAGCUGUGGAAGGGCUCUGUGCUCUGGGGAUUCGCUGCAGUUCUGAAGACGCUCAUUGGCUGCCUGCAUCGUGCCAGCUAAAGAGCAGCCUGGGGCAGAACUGGCUUUUUCUCCCAGGACCAGCUUUUCUUCGCUUUCCCACGGAGCCCCUUCCCGCUGUCAGGUGUCCACCCAGGGCCCCAGUGGGCUGGGCUCCCCCACCCCAGCCUCGCCCCGAGAGCUGGCAGGUUCAGGCUGAGACCUGCGGCAGCCUGGGCAUUCCUGCAGGUGGGGGAGGCUGGGCCCGCGUCCACGGAUGAAGUCUUGCUGCCCCGCCCGCCCUGUCGCCGGCUGGGACUUCUGCCUGGGAAUCUAUAGGAUGCUCCCUCAGCUCUGGGGCCUCCUGGGCCCCUGCAAGCAGGUGUGGGUCUCAGCAGCCGAGAUACCUCUUGGUCUGGGUUUGGUCCCUUCUUCUCCCACCCACUGAAAAACCAGUGACAAUGAUUUUUUUUUUAAUUUUUAUUUUAUUUUAUUUUUUUAGUUUUACCGAAUGUAGAAGUGAGUUGGGGCGCUCACUGGAUUCGUACACAGGUCUACACCACGGAACUACACGAGGUCAAAGUCUUGGACUGCUGCAGCCCCAGCAAGGCUGCCCUGUUUCCUCUCCCAGGCAGUCCCCUCGGCCCCCGCCUGAUCGCUGUCCCCUCCACGUGUUAGUCCUGCCCAUCUCUGAACACCGUAAAAAUGGACUCAUUUAGUGUGUCUCCUGUCUCUUGAGCGGCAUCAUCUUUUGGGGAUUCAGCCGUAGCCACAGCUUGCUCUUGUCGGGAUAUCGCCGACUCUCAGCCCUUUCGAGGACUUCACUGCGGUUUGUCCACUCACCUGUUCGUGGACAUGGGACCUGCUCCUGGCCUUGGGCUGGACGUCAUUAACAGAACUUCUGCGAGGCUUCCUGUGGACCUUUGGUGGGAACACGCCCCGUUUCUCUUAGCCGGGAGCUGCCGGGCAGAAGGUCCCCCAGCUUUAACCUUGGGAAACGUGACCCCUCAGCCUCCCCAAGGGGUCUGCUUCCUUUUACUCUCCCAACAACAAGGCCUGAGGGUUGUGGUUGUCCACAUCCUUGCCUAGGUUUGGUAUCGUCUGUCUGUCUGUCUGUCUCUCUCUCAUCUCUCUCUAUCUUGUCUUUUUAGGGUCGCACCUGCAGCAUAUGCAGGUUCCCAGGCCAGGAGUCCAAUUGGAGCUGUAGCUGCCAGCCUACACCACAACCAGAGCAAUGCCAGAUCCAAGCUGCGUCUGUGAGCUACACGGCAGCUCACGGCAAUGCGGGAUCCAUUCCCCCCCUGAGUGAGGCCAGGCAUUGAACCCGCAUCCUCACAGAUGCUAGUCAGGUUCGUUACCGCUGAGCCACAAAAGGAACUCCUCCAGCGGUAACGUCCUGAACGACACAUCGCCACCAGGAUGCUGACAUGGAUGCGGUCCGUUUACAGAGCACCCGUCACCACCAGGAUCCCUCAUGUUGCCUUUUCACCACCGCCCUGCCCCUCCUGUGCCACCCUCCUCCUCGAUUCCUGGCAGCCACUGUUGCCCCAAUCAGAACUGCAACAGAUUCACCAUCGGUCCUCCAUGCGAUAACUUUGUCAUUUCGAGAAUGUGAUAGAAAGAGAACAGUGCAGGAGCUUUUUUCCCACCCGGUGCACACCUUUGGGGGGGCAUCCAGUCUCUCUAGGCAUCAAUAAUUUGUUCCUUUCUACUGCAGAGUAGUGUUCCCUGGGAGUGGGUGGGCCAUGGUUGUUUCGCUGCUGCUUCUUUUUUUGGUUCAGGUUUUAAAUUUUAAAAAAAUUGAAGUAUAGUUGAUUUAUAGUGUUGUGUUAGUUUCAGGUGGACAACACAGUGAUUCAGUUACACAGGUAAAUAUUUGUAUAUAUAUUCUUUUUCAGAUUCCUUUCCUUUAUAGGUUAUUACAAAAUAUCAAAUAUUGUUUCCAGGUUGUUUCCUUCUUUACUGUUAAGUUUUAAGAGUUUUUUUUUAAAUUUUUAUUUUUUAAUAUAUAUCCAGGAGUUCCGUGGUGAUACAGCAGCAGGUUAGGGAUCCAGUGUCGUCACUGCUGUGGGCCCCGGGUUUGAUCCCUGGCCCCGAAAACUUCUGCAUGCCACGGACAUGUCCUAUAUAUAUAUACUAGACACGUGUCCUUUGUCAGAUAUAUAGUUUCUUUAAAACCAGUUUAUAGCUUGUCUUUUCAUCCUCUUAACAGGAUUUUUGGCAGAGCCACCGUGUUUAGUCUUGUUGCUGCCCAGUGCACCAUGUGCUCCUUUUAUGGUUGGUGCUUUGGGUUCAAAUCUAAGAACUUCUUGUCCAGCUCAAGAUCCUAAAGAGCUUCUCUCCUGCUUUUUUAAAAAGUUUGAUAAUUCUACUUGUUAUACUUUUAUGUGAUCCAUUACAAGUUGAAUAUUGUAAAAGAUGUGGAAGUUUUUUUAUUUUUGUUUGCUUUUCUAGGGCCGUAUCCGUGGCACAUGGAAGUUCCCAGGUUAGGGAUCGAAUCGGAGCUACCGCUGCCGGCCUACACCACAGCCACAGCAAACUCAGGAUCCGAGGCGCAUCUGCCACCUACACCACAGCUCACAGCAACGCGGGAUCCCUGACCCACUGAGUGAGGCCAGGGAUCGGACGCACAUCCUCAUGGAUACUUGUCAGAUUCACUUCUGCUGUGCCACAGUGGGAACUCCAAAGAUGUGGAACUUAAGCCAGAGCUGUGUAGUUGCUCCGGCAUCAUCUGUGAGAAGUGCUACCUUGCCUCCCCCAAAUUGCCUUCGAACCACUGUCAAAAAUUAGCGGGGCGUAUUUGUACGGGUAUGUUUCUGGUUUCUUGGUUCUGCUCCAUGGAUCCUUGUGCCUACCCCUCUGUCAGCACGACAUGGUUUUUGGUUGUUGUAUCUAUUAUAGGUCUUGAGAUCGGGUAAACUGAUGUCUCCCAUUUUAUCUGUCUCUUUCAAAAUUGUUUCAGCGAUGCUACUUCCUUUUUCUUUCUCUAUACGCUUUGGAACAAUCUUGUCUAUGCCUACACCGUUCUUACUAGGAUUUCGAUAGCAAUCUCUGUAUGUCACUCAAUACCGUUAUACCAGUGAAUUAGAACGGACGUCUUUAUUACGUUGACUCUUCCAAUCAUGAACGUGGCUGUGCAUCUCCACUCAGUCAUCUCGUCCUUGAUGUCCCAUCAGAGCUGUGACGCUUUCAACCUCUAAGUCCCUACAUGUUUUGUUAGAUUUAACCUAAGUAUUUUUUUUUAUUUAUUUUUGGCUGUGCCUGCAGCAUGUGGAUGUUCCUGGGCCCGGGACUGGGCAGUCACCACCGCAGUGACCCAGGCUGCUGCGGUGAUAACACACCAGAUCCCCACCCCACGGAGCCAUCAAAGAACUCUAGUAUUUCCUUUUUGAAAACGUUUGCAUGUUUAUCUUGUAUCCAGUGAUGUGGCUGCUCUUGCUUAUUAGUCCUAGGAAUCAUUUUCUUAAUAUUUAACUUUGAUUCCUUUAUUUAUCCAUAAAAUACUUUGAUUUUUUGGUGUAGAUUCCUUGGGCCUUUUGACACAGACAAUCAUGCCAUCUGCUUUAGGACGAGUUGUUUCUCUCUUCCUCCGUGUGGCUUUCAUUGCCUUCUCUUGCCUUGCACUGGCCAUAACUUCCAGCACUAUAUCAAGUAGGAGUGAUGAGAGCGGACUUCCUUUUCCCAAUCUUGGAAGGAAAACAUUCACUCUUUUACCAUUAAGGCUUACGUUAGUUAAGGUUUUUUAGAUGUUCUUUAUCAAGUUGAGAAAGGUCCUCUCUGGUCCUGCUUAUUUCAGAGUUUUUACCAUGACCUCAUGCGGAAUGUUGACAGAUGCUUUUUGUAGAUUGAGUAACACAGUCGUGUGAUUUUUCUUUAGCUUACUACUCUGCUGGACUAUAUUGAUUAAUUUUGAGCCUUCAGCAAGCCUUGCAUUGCUGAAAUAAACCUCAUUUGGUCCUCGUGUUUAAUUCACAUGACGUAUUGAUGAAUUAUACUUGCUAAUAGCUUUUAAGGGAUUUUUGUGUCUGUAUUCAUCAGAGAUAUUGGUCUGCAAUCUCCUUUUCUCUUUCCUGUUCUUUCUUUUCUUCUGCUUUUGUCGAGUUUUGGUAUCAGCAUAAAACUAGCUUCAUAAGAUGAACUGGGGAGUUCCCAUUGUGGCUCAGUGGUUAACGAAUCCGACUAGGAACCAUGAGGUUGCGGGUUCGAUCCCUGCCCUUGCUCAGUGGGUUAGGGAUCCGGUGUUGCCGUGAACUGUGGUGUGGGUCGCAGACGCAGCUUGGAUCCUGCGUUGCUAUGGCUCUGGUGUAGGCCGGUGGCUAUAGCUCUGAUUAGACCCCUAGCCUGGGAACCUCCAUAUGCUGCGGGAGUGGCAUUCAAAAGGCAAAAAAGACAAAACAUAAAUAAAUAAAUAAAAAAUAAAAUAAAAUAAAAGGAACUGGGACGUGUUCCUUCCUCUUAUAUUUUUUGGAAGAUACUGUGUCGAAUUGAUGUCAAUUCUUCUGUAAACCUUUGGUAAAACUCUGCAGUGAAAUCAUCUGGGCGUGAUGGUUUUUGGAGGGGAGUUUUUGAAAUUACACAUUUCAUUUCCUUAAUCAAGCUAUUCAAAUGAUCUAUUUCACACUGGGUGAGUUGUCCUUUUUCAAGGAAUUAGUCAAUUUCACUUACGUUGUCAAAUUUAUGUUUCCAGUAUUCUAUCUGUUUGGUACCUCUAAGAACUGUAGUAAUAUCUCCUGUUUCACUGCUGAUAUUGGCAAUUUGUAACUUCUGUCUUUAUUUCUUUGUCAAUUUUGCCUCUAGGCUUGUCAAUUUUAUUGUUCUCAAGGAACCAACUGUUUCUUUGAUUUUUUUUAUUCAUUUUCAUUUUUCAAUUUUAAAAAUUUCUGCUCUUGUCUUUAUUAUUUCUUUUCUUCUGUUUUCUUGAGGCUUAUUUUUACUUUUUUUUUUUCUCUAGGUUUUUGAGGUGGAAGCUUAACUUAUUGAUUUGAGAUGUUUCUUUCUUUUCUAUUGUUUGGAUUUAGUGCCACACAGUUUCUUCUCCGCACUGCUUUAGCUGUGUCCCUCCAACACUUGUAUGCUGUGUUUUCACUUGCAUUAAGUUCGACGUAUGAUUUGAAUUUCCCUUGAGACUUCUUCUUGGACUCAAAGAUCAUUUAGACUUGGGUUGUUUCGUUUCUCAGCGUUUAGAGAUUUUCCUAUCUUGCUGUUAUUGAUUCCUAGUUUGAUUCCAUCAUGGCUGGAGAACCCACUCUGUAUGAUUUUUAUUCUUUUAAAUUUGUUGAGGUUUGUUUAAUAGUCAGGAUAUGGUCUAUCCUGAUGUAUGUUCCAUAAACACCUGCUAAGAAUGUAUGUUGGGGGGAACGUUGUGUAAAUAUCGAUUAGAUCCUGGAGUUGACGGUGCUGUUGGUGCUUCUGUUUCCUUGUUGGGUUCCUGUCUAGUUGUUCUAGCAGUUAUGGGGAGAGGGAUGUGGAAAUCGCCAAGAGUAAUUCUGUAUUUACUUAUUUAUCCUCUCGUUUCUAUUGGCUUUUCUUUUGCACUUUCAGGAUUUUAGGUUGCCUUUAGUUUUCACAAGUUUAGUUAGUAUGUGUCUUGGUGUGGACUUCUUUGAUUUAUCCUAUGUAGGAUUUACUCAGAUUUUUGAGUCUGUAAGUUUUAUGUCUCUUUGCAAAUUUGGGAACUUUUCAGCCAUUAUUUCUUUGAGUACUUUUUCAUCACUGUCAUCUUUCUCUUGCAGUUCUGGGACGCUGAUGACAUGAAUGCUAGGUCUUUAGUUAUAGUUCCACAGGUCCCUGAGGCUCUGUUCAUUUUUCUUUCAGUCUGUUUUCUCUCUGUUGUUCAGAUUCAGUAAUUUCUAUUAUUCUAUCCUCUAGUUUACUGAUUCUUUACUCCAUCUCUUCCAUUCUGCUGUUGAAUAUGUCAGUGUGUUUUAAAUUUCAGUUAUUAUAUUUUUCGGUUCUACAUUUCCAAUUUGGUUCUUCUUUAUCUUCUCUUUCUUUGUUGAAGUUUUCUAUUUUUUUUUCAUUUAAGUGUAUUUGUAAUUGCUUAUGGAAAUAGCUUAUCAUGGCUGCUUUAAAAUCGUUGUCAAA
rnacentral:lncRNA from 1 species